UUAGGAAAUUAAUCUAAGGUUAAACCUGCCCAAUGUAAGCUAAUAUGAAUGGCCGCGGUACUUUGACCGUGCUAAGGUAGCGCAAUCAAUUGGCUUUUAAUUGAAGCCAUGUAUGAAUGGAAUCACGGGGUUUAGCUGUCUCUUAACUAAUUUAUCAAAAUUACUAUUUAGGUGAAAAAGCCUAAGAGAAGAAAAAGGACGAGAAGACCCUUAGAGUUUUACUUAAACUAAAGAUAUUUUUAAAACAGUUUAGUUGGGGCAACAUAGGAGCAAAUUUAACCUCCUGUAAAAAAUUAACCGAUACUGAUAAACACGAAUAAACUACCUUAGGGAUAACAGCAUAAUUUUAUAAAUAAGUUUGUGACCUCGAUGUUGGACUAGGAAACUUAGAGGCUAGCCGCCUCUCAGGGAAGUUCUGUUCGAACUAUUAUUCCU
rnacentral:rRNA from 1 species